rnacentral:SRP_RNA from 1 species
GGAAGGCUGGCGCGGACAUUUCCCUCGCCAACCGGGUCAGGUCCGGAAGGAAGCAGCCCCAACGAGUUUUGAAAUGGGUCGUUGUCAGUCUUCCGCU